AUGAAAGGUUGAAUGAAAAAUAAACUGUCUUAUUGAUAAAAAUUGAAUUUAACUUUUAAGUGAAAAGGCUUAAAUAUUAGAAAGGGACGAUAAGACCCUAUAAAACUUUAUAUAAAUUAGAUUUUUUAUUAUAAUUGUUUGUUUAGUAAGAAAUAAUUUAUUAGUAUUUUAUUGGGGCGAUAGGAAUAUAUAAGUAACUGUUCUUUUUAAUAACAAAUAUUGUUGAUUGGAAAGAUCCUUAAUAGAGAUUAUAAGACAAAGUUACUUUAGGGAUAACAGCGU
rnacentral:rRNA from 1 species